GUGUAUAAGGUGUCACCUGUUCCGCUCAGCUGCUUCUACUUCAUGUCUUCGAGGUCAAAAACUCCGACAGUUUCACGUAUGAGAUAGUCUGCUGUUUUCUGUGUUGCUCUGAGAAUUCCUCAUUCACAAACUGCAACCAUGAGAGCAGAUAUAGAAAAACAGCUUUGAACACGUUCCUGGAUUCAUCUGCAGCAGGAGCUGAAGCUGGCUGGGCUGUUACUGUGGGAGCUGGAAUUCAAAGAACUGAGAAACACGUGUCCUGUACAUGUUACUGUUAAUCUGGAUAAUUUUCAUUUAUAUAAUUGGUGUGAGUGUUUAUAAUAUUUAGUGUCUGCUGGCUCUUUGCAGAGGGCACAGCAGAAACAAGCUCAUUUUCUGUUUAAUAAUCAGGGAUUGUUUUACUUCUCUGAUGUUUAUUGAUCCACUGUAAUGUAGAUGUUUUUGCUCUCUAUCAGCUCAUAUUUACAAUUUUUGUCAUUUUCGUUUUUUUCCUCUCAUUAAAGGUCAGAGGUCACAGUGAACACCUCCAUGUGUUGUUGGUCUGACAGAAUCUCCUGUGCUGCCACCUGCUGGUGAUGAACCAUCAGAGGGCUUCAUACACCAAUCACUAUAAGCAUGUUUUUCAAUUAUAACCUUAAUGACGUAAACUACACAGACACACAAAACAGAAAAACAAAACAAAAAACAAAAAACCUACAUGAAUAAACAGGGUCUGAAAGAUGUCAAGGACUUUUUACUGAAUGGAAACUUAUUACUAUUCACAUCGUGUGAACAGAAUCUGAAGCUCGGAUCAGACGAGUUACUGAAAAGCUGUUGUACUCUAAAAGCCAACAAUGGGAC
ensembl:lncRNA